GAUGAACGCUAGCGGCAGGCUUAAUACAUGCAAGUCGUGGGGCAGCAUGGUGUAGCAAUACACUGAUGGCGACCGGCAAACGGGUGCGGAACACGUACAGAACCUUCCUUCAAGUGGUGAAUAGCCCAGAGAAAUUUGGAUUAAUACACCGUAACAUAUGAGAGUGGCAUCACUUUUAUAUUAUAGCUCCGGCGCUUGAAGAUGGCUGUGCGGCUGAUUAGGUAGUUGGCGGGGUAACGGCCCACCGAGCCUACGAUCAGUAACUGGUGUGAGAGCACGACCAGUCACACGGGCACUGAGACACGGGCCCGACUCCUACGGGAGGCAGCAGUAAGGAAUAUUGGUCAAUGGACGCAAGUCUGAACCAGCCAUGCCGCGUGAAGGAUGAAGGUCCUCUGGAUUGUAAACUUCUUUUAUCUGGGACGAAAAAGGGGCUUUCUAGCUCAACUGACGGUACCAGAGGAAUAAGCACCGGCUAACUCCGUGCCAGCCGCCGCCGUAAAAC
rnacentral:rRNA from 1 species